UUUCCGGUUGAUCCCGCCGGACCUGACUGCUAUCGGAUUGAUACUAAGCCAUGCGAGUCAUUGUAGCAAUAMAAGGCAGACGGCUCAGUAACGCGUAGUCAACCUACACUAUGGACGGGAAUAACCUCGGGAAACUGAGUAUAAUACCCGAUAGGUCAUUAUGCCUGGAAUGGUUUAUGAUUAAAAUGAUUUUUCGCUGUAGGAUGGGACUGCGGUCUAUCAGCUUGUUGGUGAGGUAAUGGCCCACCAAGGCUAUUACAGAUACGGGCUCUGAGAGGAGAGGCCCGGAGAUGGGUACUGAGACACGGACCCAGGCCCUAUGGGGCGCAGCAGGCGAGAAAACUUUGCAAUGUGCGAAAGCACGACAAGGUUAAUCCGAGUGUUUUCUGUUUAAGAAAUCUUUUGUUAGUCCUAGAAACACUAACGAAUAAGGGGUGGGCAAGUUCUGGUGUCAGCCGCCGCGGUAAAACCAGCACCUCAAGUGGUCAGGAUGAUUAUUGGGCCUAAAGCAUCCGUAGCCUGCUUUGUAAGUUUUCGGUUAAAUCCAUAUGCUCAACAUAUGGGCUGCCGGGAAUACUGCACAGCUAGGGAGUGGGAGAGGUAGACGGUACUCGGUAGGAAGGGGUAAAAUCCUUUGAUCUAUUGAUGACCACCUGUGGCGAAGGCGGUCUACCAGAACACGUCCGACGGUGAGGGAUGAAAGCUGGGGGAGCAAACCGGAUUAGAUACCCGGGUAGUCCCAGCUGUAAACUAUGCAAACUCGGUGAUGCGUUGGCUUGUAGCUAGCGCAGUGCCGCAGGGAAGCCGUUAAGUUUGCCGCCUGGGAAGUACGUACGCAAGUAUGAAACUUAAAGGAAUUGGCGGGGGAGCACCACAAGGGGUGAAGCCUGCGGUUCAAUUGGAUUCAACGCCGGG
rnacentral:rRNA from 1 species